GCUCAGGAUGAACGCUAGCUACAGGCUUAACACAUGCAAGUCGAGGGGUAGCAGGGUAGCAAUACCGCUGACGACCGGCGCACGGGUGAGUAACACGUAUCCAACCUUCCCAUAACUCGGGGAUAGCCUUUCGAAAGAAAGAUUAAUACCCGAUAGUACUUUAUUAAGGCAUCUUAAGAAAGUUAAAGAUUUAUUGGUUAUGGAUGGGGAUGCGUUCCAUUAGAUAGUUGGUGAGGUAACAGCUCACCAAGUCUUCGAUGGAUAGGGGUUCUGAGAGGAAGGUCCCCCACAUUGGUACUGAGACACGGACCAAACUCCUACGGGAGGCAGCAGUGAGGAAUAUU
rnacentral:rRNA from 1 species